UACGAAGGGGGCUAGCGUUGCUCGGAAUUACUGGGCGUAAAGCGCACGUAGGCGGCUUUCUAAGUCGGGGUGAAAUCCUGGAGCUCAACUCCAGAACUGCCUUCGAUACUGGAGAGCGUCGAGUCCGGGAGAGGUGAGUGGAACUGCGAGUGUAGAGGUGAAAUUCGUAGAUAUUCGCAAGAACACCAGUGGCGAAGGCGGCUCACUGGCCCGGUACUGACGCUGAGGUGCGAAAGCGUGGGAGCAACGGGAU
rnacentral:rRNA from 1 species